GCGGACGUGGUGGAAUUGGUAUACACAACAGACUUAAAAUCUGUCGCUCUUCGAGCAUGCGGGUUCAAGUCCCGCCGUCCGCACCA
rnacentral:tRNA from 1 species